AAAAAGCUCCUUGCUGGAAAGUUCUUGAAUGAAAACACAGGCAAUGACGUACACAAACAUAAAUGGCAGAUGACUUUGUGCCAAUUAUCACCAGUAUUAUUUGACUGUGGUGUCUUAACUAUAUUUACCCUAUGGCGUUAAGUAAAUACCUACACACCUCCUGAGAAUUCUCUCUUCACAUCCAGCGCACUCCUGAUUCACAGAUAAACACAAUAUCACUGUUGUAUUUAAC